GCGUGAGUGAUGAAGGCCUUAGGGUUGUAAAGCUCUUUCGCGCACGACGAUGAUGACGGUAGUGCGAGAAGAAGCCUCGGCUAACUCCGUGCCAGCAGCCGCGGUAAGACGGAGGAGGCUAGCGUUGUUCGGAAUUACUGGGCGUAAAGCGUGCGCAGGCGGCCCGAUUAGUUGGAGGUGAAAUCCCGGAGCUCAACUUCGGAACUGCCUCCAAUACUGUCGGGCUUGAGCGGAGGAGAGGAGAGCGGAAUUCCCAGUGUAGAGGUGAAAUUCGU
rnacentral:rRNA from 1 species